AUGGGAAAUAAGGGCGAGCUGAGUUUUAACUAUAUUUGGCAUAGGCAUCAUUAAAUCCUUUUAUAAUAUUUUAUAUAAUAUGGGAAUCUUCUGAGAUGUUAUCUGUUUUAAUCAGAUUUAUAUCUUCUAGAAAUGUUAGAAAAGGACUUGAGAACCUUUUGUUCAUUCAUCUGGUUCUCAAUGGUUCUAUAACGUUUCCUUCAAGUACACACUAUGAAAUAUAUAAUGGAAUCUUGUUAAUCAGCUGAAGACUGUAUCAUAUUACUUCCGUUAGAAGUCUUGGCCAUUUAGCUCAUUCUGAAUUGAAGUGAAAUCAACUAAAAAAAUGUUAAUUUGGUCAAUCAGCCUCCUACUAAAUGUGCUAAUAUUUCCUAGGAUAUCCGUUUGGUUGGAUUUACUGUAACAUGCAAGUUAUGCAAUUUUAUCUAUGGCUUUCAAUAUUAACAGAUUUCAUUUGUUCAGAAUAUAUUUAGUUACUCACAUGAUUAAUAUGCCCUUGACUUUCUCUUCACUUUCUUUUCAAGCAUGUAUGUAGUUUUAGCAAAUAUGGGUUUCCAGUGGUUUUCCCAUAAAUAUAUUAAACAUGUCAAAUAGUACCAAUGAGUAGAGUUUUAUGCUGUUUGUCUGAGUUCCUGUGAUUUUUACAUGUGUCCAUAUUGCAUCUUCUGAGAUCUCUUUCAAAUCAUUUGUCCCCCUUAGUGUCAAAAAUGUAAUUCAACAAUCACGUCUAGCUAUGAUUUUACUCAGAGUCCUUAGUUUUACUGUGUACUUUGGUUGUUGAGAACAGAGCUGUAUUUAUGCUUGAUUUCACUCGUGGUAUUUUUAGGACUGUGGUGAAGAAACAAAGGCUAUGUGUGUUGAGCUGGUAGCUAAUCGCUUUCUAAGAAAGAUGGUUCGGGUGCUUGUGGCAACCUCAAUUAGAGAAGCUGCUGCUGGUGCUGAAGAUGAUGCCUUGAUAAAGCUCAUGGAUGCCACGUGUAGGCGUGCUACUGCUCCUCCAGCACCCCCUGAUGGUUUAUGUCUAGUUGAUGUUGGGUAUACUGAAUUUGACCCUCAAAAGUGCUUCAUUCUGAUAGAGUAAAGCCUUGUGCCUUCUACUUCCCAUUCCUAAUCACAUUUACAGUGUCAGUCACACUUUCUGAUUUUUAAUCCAAGCUGCAUUUUAAUGCAAUAUUUUGCAAUUAGAUCCUCCGCCAUGAAGCUGCAUUUUAAUGCAAUAUUUUGCAAUUA